rnacentral:tRNA from 1 species
GGUGAUAUGGUCUAAUGGUAUGGCAAGGGACUGCAAAUCCUUUGAUUUCAGUUCGAAUCUGAAUAUCACCU